AACCUCCGCAAUGUGAGAAAUCGCGACGGGGGGAUCCCAAGUGCCAUUCUUAACGGGAUGGCUUUUCAUUAGUGUAAAGAGCUUUUGGAAUAAGAGCUGGGCAAGGCCGGUGCCAGCCGCCGCGGUAACACCGGCAGCUCUAGUGGUAACAAUUUUUAUUGGGCCUAAAGCGUCCGUAGCCGGUUUAAUAAGUCUCUGGUGAAAUCCUGUAGCUUAACUGUGGGAAUUGCUGGAGAUACUAUUAGACUUGAGACCGGGAGAGGUUAGAGGUACUCCCAGGGUAGAGGUGAAAUUCUGUAAUCCUGGGAGGACCGCCUGUUGCGAAGGCGUCUAACUGGAACGGUUCUGACGGUGAGGGACGAAAGUUAGGGGCGCGAACCGGAUUAGAUACCCGGGUAGUCCUAACUGUAAACGAUGCGGACUUGGUGUUGGGGUGGCUUUGAGCUGCUCCAGUGCCGAAGGGAAGCUGUUAAGUCCGCCGCCUGGGAAGUACGGUCGCAAGACUGAAACUUAAAAGGAAU
rnacentral:rRNA from 1 species